UUAAAUUUGUUGAUUUUUAUUGAAGCAACCACUCCUGUUAUCCGUGCGUUGAUCCGCGAUGUGACACUUGAGGAGCACCGACCAAACCGCGAAGGGUGGAGAAAAAUUUGCAGGACUCGAACCAGAACUUUACCAAGAAGUAAUCGAGAAGAGCAGGAUGCACGUGUGUGUCAUCCAGCGUCGGUACCCUUCGGGAGUAUUUCAAGUUGAUGACUUAGUGUUUGUUAUCAAAUACUCCCAAUCCACUGAUAUGGUCGAUCCGGCUGGCCUCAGUUGCGGUCCGGAUGAAGUACUCUUCCUGCAGACACAUUCAGACAAGGGUUCUAUUGUGAUCUGGUAGGAUCUGGCUGGCCUCAGUUGCGGUCCGGAUGAAGAACUCUUUCUGCAGACACAUUUAGACAAGGGUUCUAUUGUGAUCUGGUAGGAUCUGGCUGGCCUCAGGUGCGGUCCGGAUGAAUAGCUUUUCCUGCAGACACAUAUAGGCAAGGGUUCUAUUGUGAUCUGGCAGUUAUGGAUGACGUGCAGGCUGAGCUCUAGCACUUUAAGACACGCUCAGAGAUUAAAGGCUCUGACGUGGUCAAGCUUUAGUCGGGUCCUCUCAGACACGUUUAGAGACAGGGGCUUUAUCGUGGUCUGGGUGGGCUUUGACUGGUCGGAUGCACCGUAAAGACAGGGGCUUUACUGUGCAUGUGACAAACACGCAGGGGUCGUGUUAUGUGGUGGUUGACUGUCGCGGAGUCACCCGCCAUGUAGAUAGUUUAGUAUGACUGAGAUUAUGAAUGUCGAUGUGUGAAUUAUAAGUGUAUGAGUUAGAUAGGAAACUAGCUGGUUAUGUUAGACAGUGUGAAGGGGCCUUGAUUGUGAGAAGGAUGAAAGAUAGGCACACGUAUUAUUGUUUAUCAAACUUUAACCAAAUUAUGAAUUUGACAGAUACUGACUCUGAGUCUGAAACAGUGGAGACACAAGGCGGCUGUUUACAAACUUAUUAAGGAACGAUGCAGAAGCUGGACCAUCGUCUGUUGGCCAGGUGAACGUGGCUCACGAUGACUCCAGAGACGAAGAUGAAGCAGUGCCCCGGGACGGUGCACGGUCAGGAGAGGCCGUAUAAGGAUAAAAUAAAUUAAGACAAAAAAAUAAAAUAACAAAAUAUGGAGGUGCCUUGACACCCUAUUUAAAGGCAGCCAACCUCACAGAGGGGGCAUUUGCUCGUUGCCUUUGAAGGCGUUAGGUCGUGUCAAAGUGCGUAGUGUAAACGUGGGUAGUGUCGAAUAAUUGUGUAAAUUAACGGUUGAUUGUUUGUUCGUAAUUUAGUAAAAUUGCUGAAACUUUAUUUUGUAAAAAGAUAGUAAACCUAAUUGUGAUUCUU